ACCUCAUAUAAGGACCUUUUCCCCUUUAACUCAAAUGCUUUUCUUCUUCUCUCAAACAAAAAGAACAAGCCAGUGAAACCAAGAAAUCGACCCGAACUCCAGUCGUCCGAGUCUAGCGAGCAGUAGCACAUCGUGAUCUUCCUCUCUCCUUAUCCGUUCUUAAGCGAAUCGUAAUCGAUUUAGCCAGGUGUUGCUAUCUCGUGUGCCUCUCAUCCUUAGCUCAAAAUCAAGCGGCCCUCAUCAAUUUUCCCAUGGAAUUAGUACUACUUCCAGCUCAUGCCUUAUCCUCUGGAAUUUUCAAAUUACUCACAGUCCCACAUCGACCUUAAUCUGUGAUUUUCAAAUUUUCUCAACCCAUAUAAAUACCCUUCCCAUUCACUGUUCAAAAGGAUGAUUCUCGGAAAGCAAAAAGUACCAUAAAGUUUUCUGGGAAUUCUUGGUUUCAUAGUUUAAAGUUGUUAAAACAUUUUACUGUCUCUUCGAGUUGAAGAGGUGGAAUCGUCUGCGUCAAAUUAGUUGUUUGGUUCGCUGCCCAGAACCAUUUGACCUGCAUCGUAUUAUGAUGAAGACGCGGGGUAAUGAGGAUCGGCACCCCAGCGCAUCGUUGAUCCAGUUGAGCACUCUAGACUGUUGGAGAGACUCCUUGCAUUCCGGAGGACCUCUUUUUAUUGCUUUAAUUUAUUUUCAUUAUUUAAUUUAUUAGGAUGAUCGAGGGUACUUUCCCAACAUCCAUCUUAAAUUUUAGAAUUUUCACAUAUAGUUAGUCAAAUGUUAGUUCAUUCGUCAUUAUCUUGUUUUUGCCUUAUGUCUAGAUUUGAGUUGCCAUUUUGUCUAAGUUAAAUAUUUAUUUUUAAAACAUUAUGAGUUUAGUUCGAGUCA